AGUCUUGGCGUCACGUGCAGGCCAACCAACAACUCUCUUUGGCACUUGGCUUGACCUGGUGUUUACCAUCCCAGUCUCCUGCGAUGGUGAUGCGCCGCCUUGUUUCCAGAACUUUGGCGUCGGCUCCUCGGCUACCUCUUAGGUCCAUGCUAUCAUGUCGAACCAACGUGUAUACUUUAGAAUUUAUUCCAAUAAGUUAUAACUUUUGUCACGACGUCUUCUCUUGAUGUAUGAGCAAGUUAAUCCUUGCAUUGUGCCACCUGCGGCUCUCCCCGGUGUGACCUGGUGGUUGUUGCCGCAGUCUGUUGCAAAGGUUCUGGGCCCCAACCGUAGCCUCUUGCGAGGUUUGAAGCCUUGGUUUGGUGUCCCAUGGCCUUGUCUGCGUGGGCCUUUUGUCGUGCAACAUCAGUGGCGUGUUGUAUGUCCGUGGCUACAACAACCCUUUGUGGUUGGUCCUAGAGUCGCGUGCACACAGACCAACAACACUCUUUGGCACUUGGCAAGACCUGGUGUUUACCAUCCCAGUCUCCUGCGAUGGUGAUGCGUCGCCUUGUUUCCAGAACUUUGGCGUCGGCUCCUCGGCUACCUCUUAGGUUAAUCCUUGCAUUGUGCCACCUGCGGCUCUCCUCGGUGUGACCUGGUGGUUGUUGCCGCAGUCUGUUGCAAAGGUUCUGGGCCCCAACCGUAGCCUCUUGCGAGGUUUGAAGCCUUGGUUUGGUGUCCCAUGGCCUUGUCUGCGUGGGCCUUUUGUCGUGCAACAUCAGUGGCGUGUUGUAUGUCCUUGGCUACAACAACCCUUUGUGGUUGGUCCUAGAGUCGCGUGCACACAGACCAACAGCACUCUUUGGCACUUGGCAUGACCUGGUGUUUACCAUCCCAGUCUCCUGCGAUGGUGAUGCACCGCCUUGUUUCCAGAACUUUGGCGUCGGCUCCUCGGCUACCUCUUAGGUUAAUCCUUGCAUUGUGCCACCUGCGGCUCUCCUCGGUGUGACCUGGUGGUUGUUGCCGCAGUCUGUUGCAAAGGUUCUGGGCCCCAACCGUAGCCUCUUGCGAGGUUUGAAGCCUUGGUUUGGUGUCCCAUGGCCUUGUCUGCGUGGGCCUUUUGUCGUGCAACAUCAGUGGCGUGUUGUAUGUCCUUGGCUACAACAACCCUUUGUGGUUGGUCUUGGCGUCGCGUGCAGGCCAACCAACAACUCUCUUUGGCACUUGGCUUGACCUGGUGUUUACCAUUCCAGUAUCCUGCAGCGGUGAUGCGCCGCCUUGUUUCGGCGUCGGAUCCUCGGCUACCUCUUACCCACAUCACUUGCAGGUAUGGAGUUUGAUGGUGGCAAAGCUAUGUAUGCCACCAGUUUGUCAGAGAUGAGAUGCUGUAGCGGCAUGAAGUUUGAUAAGUUGCUCAGGUUGAUGAUCCAUUGAGAAUGUUGAUGACACCCAGAAUUGCUGCAGCACUUGCGAGUGUGGAAUUUGAUGGUGGGAAAGUUAUGUUUGUCAGAGAUGAGAUGUUGUAGCGACAGGGAGUUUGUGAAGUUGCUCCGGUCGAUGAUCUUGUUGAUGACCCCCAAAACUGGCAAGGAAAUCUACCCUCAGGAGCCAAUGGUUUGAAGCACUAGACAACAUUUCCCAAAUUGCAAUGUGAUGAGUCGUUGUUUCUUGUCGGACUGGCAGGCUUCGUAGUUUGUUUGGAUAGAUAUGGACUCCUCGCCACUGCACCAAAGAGUUCUUCGUUGGCUGUGGUUCCAAUGUCAAAGGUUCUUGCUGCUGAAUUCUAAUUUUUGGUGACCAGGUUCUUACGACCAGAUCCUUGGGUCACCUGGCCUCCUGGUGAAGAUCUUCGUGUGGGUCCUCGAGAUGCCGAUGGUGGGCUGGGUCUUGCUUUAAAUCCUAAAGAAGGAUGAUCUUCUCUUCCUCUCAAACUGCAUUCAUAUGCCUGACAAUUUUAAUUCUCAGUUCACCAUGCAUGUUGUUCAACUGUGAACAUAACAUCACAGACUCACAUUGAUCAGUAAAGCUAUUUUACAACAAUGAAUUCACUCUUCCGUGUUGUUUUUACUUUUUGCCAUUCACUUUCUUGCUGAAAUGCUCUACUCUGUUCUGUUUGCAGCUUGUCUCGGAAGUUGAGAUCCACUGUUUACUUCAAUGGUUCAAUCCACAGCUGGAAAGACAUUGCAGAGCUGAACCUCAGCCUAACGAAGACCGGCCUGUUACCCGUGGAGUGAGUCCGGGAUGCCGUCGAAGACAUAUCAAAGCCCUAGGCCGGUAUCCCUGAGCACUGGAGUUGGACGGGUGUUUUGCCCUUUGUUUGCACCGUCAGCACAAGAUGAUCGUCGUCAUGUGCAAACCUCUAGUGUUGGGAUUGGUUGUAGCUUGUAUACGUAUGGUUUGGUGCCUUUUUUUGUUUUGAUUCAACAAAACAUGGACUAGUGCUUGUAUGUACCCACCCAAUCUUUUUUGUUUUGAUGAAUUUGUAAUGGCGCCAGAGAUGUAAGAUUUUGUGGAAAUUCAAAUGCUCGCUCAUAUGUA